rnacentral:rRNA from 1 species
AUUGAACGCCGGCGGCAUGCCUUACACAUGCAAGUCGAACGGCAGCAUGAUCUAGCUUGCUAGAUUGAUGGCGAGUGGCGAACGGGUGAGUAAUACAUCGGCACGUGCCCUGUAGUGGGGGACAACUAGUCGAAAGAUUAGCUAAUACCGCAUACGACCUGAGGGUGAAAGUGGGGGACCGCAAGGCCUCAUGCUAUAGGAGCGGCCGAUGUCUGAUUAGCUAGUUGGUGAGGUAAAGGCUCACCAAGGCGACGAUCAGUAGCUGGUCUGAGAGGACGAUCAGCCACACUGGAACUGGGACACGGCCCAGACUCCUACGGGAGGCAGCAGUGGGGAAUUUUGGACAAUGGGCGAAAGCCUGAUCCAGCAAUGCCGCGUGUGUGAAGAAGGCCUUCGGGUUGUAAAGCACUUUUGUCCGGAAAGAAAUGGCUCUGGUUAAUACCUGGGGUCGAUGACGGUACCGGAAGAAUAAGGACCGGCUAACUACGUG